UACGUAGGGUGCAAGCGUUGUCCGGAAUUAUUGGGCGUAAAGAGCUCGUAGGCGGUCUGUCGCGUCGGCUGUGAAAACUCGGGGCUCAACUCCGAGCCUGCAGUCGAUACGGGCAGACUAGAGUUCGGUAGGGGAGACUGGAAUUCCUGGUGUAGCGGUGAAAUGCGCAGAUAUCAGGAGGAACACCGGUGGCGAAGGCGGGUCUCUGGGCCGAUACUGACGCUGAGGAGCGAAAGCGUGGGGAGCAAACAGG
rnacentral:rRNA from 1 species